CCUCAAGUUAUAAAUUUUAUUUUUUCUUCCGUGAUGGGGCGGCGUCGCGUGGUAGUUACUGGACUUGGUCUUGUGACACCCUUAGGAGUCGGACGAGAACUAAAUUGGACU
rnacentral:ribozyme from 1 species